GUUAAUUGUUGCCAGUCCCUCCCAGGAUGAGGAGCUAGGUGCCCCCAGACAGGAAAGAGGAGCAAAAAAAGAGUUUCUGGAAGGAAGCACCCUCUUCACUCUUUCCCUCCCUCCUUCAAUCAGCUGCCUUUUCAGGGUCUCGGCUUGAAUCUAGGAUGUUGAAUAAGACUCGAGUGUUAGUUUAUAUAGUUCAGAUUCUAAGGACCAUCAAACCCUCUAAGAAGAGAAGCAGGAUGGUAUCGCAGAAACAGCAUGGAUUUGAGGGCCAGAAAACCUGGAUUCAAAUGUCAGCUCUUGCCGCUUCACUACGUGGUCUUGCAAACUUUCCUCCCCCUCUGAGUGUGGUUUUCCUCAUCUGCAAAAUGGAACAGUGUUGUUGAUAAAGGAGGUCACAUGUGUGAAGUGCCAGCCUUGGGCAAAAUACCUCUCCUUUCUGUGCACAAGGAGAAGAGAUGGUUCUGGAAGGCUGAUUCCUUCCAGAUCUUAUACUCUCAAAUUCUGAUAGGCAAAUGAAACAUUCUCUGAAUCAACCUGUUAUCUUCUUGAUUAGCUUCCACACCUGAGUGUGAGUCUGGAAAGCUCAAGUGGAACUGAGUAGAGGCCCACCAAGCUUGGACUGAAGGGAGGGCCUGCUGAAGGUGGCUCCUGGGCAUUCGCCACGGGGCAAGACCCACCCGAGCUGAGCACUUCUGACUCACGUGUCUGGCUACAGGGAUCUAGAAAAGCACUUCCUCAGUCAGUAGGAUGAAGAGUUGCCAUCGAGACAAGCUCCGCUAGGCUGGGCCUGACCCGACCUGAACCAGCUGACAAGAACCGUCUUCUAGGCUUCGCAGAGAUAAUGGCCCUGGCUCGGGAUGGUGGCCUAGGGGGCGGCAGGGAGGGCUUCAGGAAAGCCAGGGGACAGGGAUUUCAGAGUUCUUCCUUCUCCAGCUCCUCAAGUUGCUUUCUCUCUUGGAGCUUUCUCUCCCUCAUCCUGCUCCUGGAACAGUUUACACCAUUCUAUG
rnacentral:lncRNA from 1 species